UUGUGAACCACAUCCACCUCGAAUGGCAAAUUCAAGGCUUAGCACAGUUCCUUCAUGGCUACCAAUAGGGAUGGACCCCAUAGCUACAUAUUUGUUGGAAAUUAAACCAGCGGGGGAUCGAAAAAAUGCUAGGGUGGAAUAUGAUUGGUUUAUAUUCAGUAAGGUGGUAGACUCAAAUGUAUUGUGCUACAAAGACUUUGUUGAUGACAUUGCAAAGUCAUAUCCAUGGGGGCCAAAUGAGACUGUUACAAUUGACUACAUGGAUUUGGUUGAUAAAACCUCUCAUCAUGUCAAAACUGAUCAGGACAUGAUAGCAAUGUUUGAAAAGUUCAUUGAUAUCAAGGUGAUUCCAAUGAUUAUUCGUAUACAUGGUAUUGAUGAAAAUAUUGAUGAGUUAGACCACACUCUUGAUAAAGUAAACAUAGACGUGUUCGAUACUCCUUCUUUGGCAAUUCCCUCUCAAGUGGAUUUCAGCCAACCUAGCAGCAGCACUCAAUCUUCUCGUGUCACUGUGCCAUCCAACACAUACUUAGUAAACCUUUUUCCAAUGGCUGAGCAUGUUGGUGUGGAUGAUGAGGGCAUGUACUUAAAUGAUGUUGAGGAAGCUGCUUGUCACACCCAGAAAUUCUCGAACCAGAAUUUCCAGGCUGAAUGUGCAUUAAAUCCCUAUCCAGGACCAGCCAGGGUACACAAACGACAAUUGUUGACAUACAGACCCACGUCUUACAAAAAUAUAAAAGAUUACAAAUGCAGCGGAAAAGAUUAAAGCGAGCUAA
rnacentral:lncRNA from 1 species